GUUGCCUGGGGACUGCUGAACAUGUACAUUGUGACUGCAGGAGUGAAGCUCAGAAAGAAACUGAGUUCUCACCGGGGGCUGCCACAUGGAACUGAAAUGACCUGCAGAAGUGCUGCUUCCAUCACCCCUGCCAGCACUGCCCUUAUCGCUUGCUGCUUUGGGUAGAAGAGCAACUGGAGUGCUCAGCAAGCAUCUGCCAGCCUAACUCAGACCAAAGCCCCUUCAGGCUCUUGAAGGUUCCAGGAUCUCUCUGGAGCCUUCUCUUCUUCCAGGAGAACAACGUCUUCACAGGAGAGGUGCUUUAAUAAUGUUUCAUGCUAAGGAACUACAAGAUUAUCAUCAUAAUUUACUGCGGAUGGAAAUCCUCCCAGAAAUGCAAUCAGCAAGAACUAAAUGGUCAGUGAGAAAAAGCCAGCACAGAAGUGACAUCAUUUUGUUCCCAGAGGUUUGAUUCUCUCCAACUUGUUUUUCCUGUUGAAAUGAGACCCAGCUAAUAAAGUUCUAUAUAAUGUAUUCAGAUUCCUGUGGUAA